rnacentral:lncRNA from 1 species
CUUAGAUUUUCAUAUAACUGUACAGCUUUCUCAUUUAUAUAUCAAUCUUACAGAAUGCUAGGUUUUUUGAUAGUUUGGUGUUUAGUUGUCAAAUUUAGGGAAUUAAUUAAUAGGCGAAAAAGGCUGCAUCAAAUUCAAAAACAUGCCUGCCUAUAUUUGCUUAAAAGGACCAUAAUUUCUUUUUCCAAAAGUAGAACAGAUAAAGGAAUAUUCAUAUUUGAACUAAAUGUAUACAUAUAUAUGGAAUUAACUAGCACAUUUUAAAUUUUGUAUUAACACCAAAGUUUAUUCUUUGAUUUCAAGACAUAAAAUUUUAAAACUUUAAAAUAGAAAAAGAACCUAAAUCAUUUUUGAUUGUCUUAUAGUUUUAGAGGGGCAAGGACUUUUUUUAUAGAUUUUUUUAGAUGGGCAAGGACUUUUUUUCAGAAUUUAAAAGGAUGGGCGUUAGCUUUUUUAAUGAAACAAUAUUAAGAAUGCACCGGCCCAUCCAUCUGGUAAAUAUUGAACGGUCCCUUAU